GUGAACUGCGGAAGGACAU
rnacentral:rRNA from 1 species